GACGAACGUUGGCGGCGUGCUUAAUACAUGCAAGUCAACUGAAGCAGAGGUAGUAAUAUCUCUGUGGAGGUGGCGCACGGGUGAGUAACACGUAGGUAAUCUGCCUUCAGGUCUGACAUAACCCCGAGAAAUCGGGGCUAAUAGCAGAUGAUGCAGCGGCUUGACAUCAAGACAGUUGUUAAAGCUUCGGCGCCUGAAGAUGAGCCUGCGUCUGAUUAGCUAGUUGGCGGAGUAACAGCCCACCAAGGCUACGAUCAGUAGCUGGUCUGAGAGGAUGAUCAGCCACACUGGAACUGAGACACGGUCCAGACUCC
rnacentral:rRNA from 1 species